rnacentral:rRNA from 1 species
CACGUAGGGUGCGAGCGUUGUCCGGAAUUAUUGGGCGUAAAGAGCUCGUAGGCGGUGUGUCGCGUCGGCCGUGAAAACCUGCAGCUUAACUGUGGGCGUGCGGUCGAUACGGGCAUCACUGGAGUUCGGCAGGGGAGACUGGAAUUCCUGGUGUAGCGGUGAAAUGCGCAGAUAUCAGGAGGAACACCGGUGGCGAAGGCGGGUCUCUGGGCCGAUACUGACGCUGAGGAGCGAAAGCGUGGGGAGCAAAGAGG